UUGCGCCUGCGGCGGAUCCGGCAACGAUCAUAUUUUGGCUUCGCAGGCAGCCUGUCGUUGUACGAUCCUGUAAAUCCUGGAAUUUUCCAGGAUUUAACAUCUUC
rnacentral:sRNA from 1 species